CAAAGGAAACACACACAAAAAAGGAGCCAACGGCACCUCCUCCACUAUAAAAGGCCCUUCCAGCCGCGAGAAACCCCAUUCUAAUUUCUUUUUUCCAAACUCAAUUUUAUCUCUCUCAGUAUUUUUAUUUAUUUCUUUUCUUAUGGGUGAAUCGGAAAACCGCCUCCUCAAUCAAUUCUGGGCCGCGCAGUCAACUCCUCCUGAGCCGGCUCCCAUCGCGGACCAAUGCUUGAAACCGACCCUUAAUGAUUGCACAAGCUUCAAUCGGAACAGAAUUGCCGACAAUGGAAUUCAGACAUCUCGUGAUGCCAAACGUGUUGCUGGAUCUGCAAAGAUAUCAGAGUUGAGCAACAAGAACAGAACAUUGUCCUCCAAUACUCUUAUGAGCUCUGAGCAGGAAAUUGAAUGCGGCAGGGCUUCCAUGAAGCUUGCAUCUGGAUUUCUUAAGUAGAAGCAAUUCGAGGAGGACAUUCAAUGCAGGUUUCUUUCUAAUUACACAAUUUAUAUUCCUAGAAUUGAAAACAGAUUAGAAUUAUCAGUUUUCUAUGGCUUCUAGGGAUAAUUAUUUUUAGGAGCAUUCAUAUUGAUCGAUGCCUCAUUUAUUUAUGAAAUUCUUCAGACCCAGGUUUCCAACAUUUAGAUUUAGGUUUUUUGUCGGAAGCUAGUUGUUGAACACAGUUGUACUUUUGGUGUAGCUUUAAUUUUGUUGAAAAAACAGCUAAAACCUUUUGAAAACAGAAGAGGAUGAGAAAAUAGUAUAUCACUUUAGUGAACAAGGAUACAUAAAGAAAGAAAACCAUGUUAGUCAUUAUACCUUCCUAUAUCCCUUGGUACUUGGCUCUUGAUGAGCUAACAUCAUCGCCAUAUCUAGUAACAAGGUUAAACAUGACUGUUUGAUUUUUUUUUCCCCUUAAUAUGUCAAUUCCACACAGCAUUUUUUUAGAGGGCAUACAUUAUGUGUAGAAUAUAUAUUGCAUGGCUCAGGUUGAUUAAUUGUGAUACUCCUACCAAAGGAAGGAAGAGAUCCCAGUCAUCUCUUGGAUUGCCAACCUCUAGUCAGUUAAAAAGAUCAAAGAGAUCAUCACCAGCAGAAAGAAGACCAUCAUCAAUUGAUGAUCUCCCUGACACGGCAUUGGUUGAAAUCCUUUGCCGACUUCCAUCAAGUAAAUUUGUGUUUCAAUGCCAGUGUGUGUCCAAGCGUUGGCGCACACUCAUCUCAGAUCCUUAUUUUAUUGGCCGCUUUGUGCAUAUCCAAGGUUAUAGGAAAACUCCAAAGAUGUGCACUCUAAUAAGUCAAAAAGGAGAGGAAUUCCCUCCUAAAAUGCCAUGGUCAUCCAAGUUACUAACCCCAGUGUUCAAACAAAUAAUGAGUUUCCACUCUUUGAGAAAAGGGCCAGUUGUGGUAGCAACGUAUAAUGACUUAGUUUUGUGCUGCGCAACUGAGGAUUAUCAACGCAAUUACUACAUCUGCAAUGCAUACACCAUGCAAUGGGUUGCUCUUCCUCCCACCCCAGGUCGAUGCCACGAUAGGGUACUAGUGGGAUUCAUCUGUGAUAUUCCCUACUAUAAUUCUAAGAAAGAAGAUUGGAAAGGGCAUAACAUCCAGCUUAAUGCUAAGUGUGUGUGCAACGUUGUGAGAAUUCUUCCUCCUGAUGAAUCUGCAAAUGAUGACAAAUGUGAUUCCUUAAAAUUAAGCGUGGAGAUCUUCUCUUCUGAGACUGGUGAAUGAAGAGAAUCAGUUGUGGCUUCCCCACGAUACUUUGAUUUUGAUGACCUUGAAGAUAUAUCCUUUGCAUACAAUGGGAUGUUAUAUUGGACAAGUGACGAAGACCUUCUUUUUGUUGGUUUGGGUCCCUUCAACGACAAUAACACGACAACUAGUAGUAGUAGUAGCGGUAAUGGUGAUGGCGUUAUUGAUCAUAAACUUCAUUUGACUGUAUUUGAGGAGCCUCUAAAUGGACGUUUUGUAGUUGAGUACCUAGGUAUGUUCGGAGGAUGUGUCCGGAUGUGUGACUUUAAGGAGGCUACCAAAACUCUGUGAGUUGAAAGAACAAGAUCAUGAUCGGAUGGUCGAUGGAGCUGCUGGCAGAUUGUGUUUAACUAACCACAGGUAUAUCAGUUGGACCCAAAAAUGUAUCCAGAUGGUCCAUUUACGUGCGAAAUGCAGGCUUUUGACCCAAAUAAUAAGGAUAUUUUGUAUCUGCGUGUGGACGGAGAUAUUAUCAAGUGCAAUAUUCAUACAAAAAAGUGGUCUAGGAUAGUUAGACGGUGUCCAGUUCGUAAUGGUGACUAUUGGCCAGUUGAGCUCCCAUGGUGGCCGACUCCAGUUCCUAGAUUACCGCAGCAUGCCCAUGGUGGAGGAACUAGCUGCUAGUAGAUAACUUGAAUUGAAGUACUAAACUUUUAUUUAUUAAAGUUGGAUUAUUUGUAUUUGAUAUACUCAGCAAUGUUACACUUGUAUUUGCUGGUAAUUACCCUAGCAUUUUUUUUUAAUUACUCUUUUUGUUAA